AUAUACUAAUUGAGGGCAUAUAAAAUGCACAUGGCAAUCUAUAGCCCCAGCUGUUACAAUCAAGCCCUCUCCAGCAAUAACUUCAGUAUUAGCCUAGAUAUGGGACGGUGCAAUAUAAGCUGUAUCAAGAUAAUGAAGGAAUUCAACCCAUUGCCGCAGAUAUCUGGAAAGGAACUUACCCCAAAGAUCAUAUUAACACCGUGCAUAACAUCUGGAUUUCCUGCUUUUCCAAUUGAGGCAAUAAGGCCAUCUUUAAUGCCAAUAUCUGCUUUGAAAAUUCCAGUAUAAUCAACGACCACAGCAUUUGUUAUAACGGUAUCGAAGGAGCCAUCAGGUGAAUGGCCACACGACUGACCCAUUCCAUCUCUUAU
rnacentral:lncRNA from 2 species